GGUUUUAUUACUUGUUUGUGGAUCUAUUUGCUCCAUUUAAUGGGCAGUAUCUUGUUUUAUGAAACCGUUAAGUCAGAUCCAGCUAAACUGGGCUCUGUGUCACUUGUGUUUUUCGGGACACAGAUGCUCUCCAGCUUUCCCUCUAUCCUCCCUCCAUCCUCAGAGGAGGAGGAGGAUGAAAAGCAGAGAAAGAGAACAGAACUGGGAGCUGGAACUGAGGAUGUAAAAAACCUGGAUCAUCUGAUUCCCUCUCUUCCUCUCACCCCUCCCCUCCUCUCUCUUCUCUCUCCCUCUGACUGCGCCCAACUUCUCUCCCUCCAUCCUCUCAGAUAGCUACAGUUUCCACCUCCUGACUGCACCCAGCGCACACAAAACCUGAUUCCGGAGGGUUUAGGAUGUUGCUCGGUUCCUGUACUCUUCUGGAUUUGGACUAUUUGCAUUGGAAGAGUUAUCUAUAGAAGAAAAAAAAGGCAAGGCGAUUGGUUUUGCUGCAGAAAAAGAGGACGCACCGACCUCCGCAUCCCCCGCAGCAUCACUCCUCUCCACCCGCAUCCUCAGCAUCCUUGCAUGGACAUCCAGAGGGGAGCCGCGGACCGGGCUGCGCACGCGAAUCAAGCCGGUGAAAGCGUUCGAUUAUCGGGCAAACACAACAUCUCGCAUCGGUGCUUUUAUGGAGGUCUGGGCUCACACCGUUAAAUGUCUGUUUAGUUUAAAUAAUAGAAAACUGCGCCAUAAAUCCUGCAUCCUACCACAAAAGGUAUUGUUAAAUGUUUUUCACAAGUUGAUACAUCGGUGUAUAUUGGUGAAUUAAAAGCUUUUAUUUUGGUUUAGGCCUUUUUAAACCUCCGUCAGCUUCUUUCAUUGGCGCUAAAUCUGCUCCUGCAAAAUCCGCAGUGAGCUUUCCUGCUCUGCGGAAUUUCUAUUUCUGACUAUUUUUUUUAAAACAUGAAAAAUGAAGAUGAUAUGCUGCAAAAUUCAACUAUAAAUACUCAAAAAUGCCUCUGAAGUAUUGCAUUUUGAUAGUCCAUGGUGCAUUAUGGUGUCCUAAUUGCAUAAAACACUUUACAUCUAUUAUUCAAGCUAUGAAAAUGUAAUGUAAAUGGGACAUUUAACUAUUCAUAUUUUCAGUCUUUUUAAUAUUCUGUCUCUGUUAAUGUGUUCCAUUUUUUCAGAUUUUUUUUUAUAUAGGCUUUAAUACACACGCCCGACCCCCACAAAGGCAGCCACCCCCCACCCCCCCUUAUCCUCCCCUUUCUCUCCCUCAUCUCCCUCCCCUCUGCAUUUUAGCCAACAUGAGCUAUCUGGGUCAUUAGCAUUUCAGCGGGUAAUGAGGCUGCAGAUGGGUCCAUGCCUUCCCCUCUGCCGGAGAGCCUUUGAGCAUCACACAUGCCUUCACCGCAGCUGAGUUUAAAAGAAAAAGACAGAAGCAAAAUCGACAUGAUGAGAGGAUGUUUUUGGAGCUGUCAGGAUUGUGUACUCAUGUGGGAUAAGGAGUAAAAUCGCAGCAGCAGCUUCCUUCCCUGCAGCUGUGUCAUUAAUGCAGUGCUGUAUAAGAACGUGCAUUAUGUCUGCUGCUGCUGCUGGAUAAUGGAGGAUAAUGCUGUAAUGCUGCUGCAGUGCUGCUUAAAGGACUAUACCGUGUCCUUAUUUGUGCAUUUUGCAAUUCUGCACAUUCUCACAUCACAUUUAAGCUCCCUUUUUUUCAUGCUGCAUUAUUUCAGAUGUUCCAGGAAGCCAUUUUUAGCUUGCACUCAUUUCAUGAAAAUGAAAUAACACUUGCUCCAGAUAGACAGUCCAUCUCAGCCAACAUGUUGUGCUUAAACUGGAGCUUUAAUUGCAUUACCAGUCGAUGUGAUGCAGUUUGAAGUGUUGGAUCUCAAGCAAGAGGGGCCAAAAAUAAACCUGGAGGAGAAGGUCACAUGAUCAGAGGAAUAAUGCAGAAAAUAACACAUCCUUCACCAAAGACGGCAUUUUUCUCUCUUCUUUUUAUAUUUUCAGGUCUUUUGUUCUCACUGUAGCCUGUAAAAUAAAGCAGCAUAUUGACAUUAUUCUGUUUUUUUCAUGUCAAGGUGAGAAAUUAAUGUGAACCCGAGGCUGCUUGGAUGCCCUAUUUUUAAAAGAAAUAGCAUUGUAGCAUCAGGAUUACAACAUGCAGAUUGCUUGUGUUUUCUAUUUAGGUUAGUGUUGUGCAAAUACGCCGUAAAGUAUUUUACAAAAUUUGCAGGGAAAAAAAGGUUGAUUUAGUCAGUUUAGCAUCCUUUGCUAUAACCUCGCUCUGCAUGUGGCCUCUUGUGUGGAGGUCAGCAGGACAUCCUUGCCAGCUUAUCUUAAAGCCAACAUCAACACAUACACACUCACACAAACAUCCACACAUAUCUAUAGAGCUUUACAGCAUCUUAAACUGUCCUGAGCUGCAGGAGGAGACAGAGCGCUGCAGAAAGAGGGGGUGUUAGAGCUGCUUUUGUGUUGUGAGCGAGCUGAUUCUGCUUUAAUACAUCAUGUACUUUAAUUCAUUGUAGUCAGGCUAAUGCUGUUUUACAGUAUAAUCAGCAUUAAUCGUACUGCAGACUCUAUUAACAGUGUAAAUGCUUUGAAAAUCCAGUUUUUCACUACAUACUUUGCUAAUCUUAGAUUUAUGUACAUUUUAUCAAGUUAAUGUCACCAUGAAUGAAGCCAGCACAACAUGCAUUUGUUAAGCUAACAAACUCGAAGGCCUGAAAGUGAGUUUACAACAUACAGUAGGAUGAAGUAUUACCAGUUUUGUAUUACCAAAAUCUAAUAGGACACAUUCACCAGGGUUGACACACAUAUUUAGACAUUUUUUAUGCUGUACAUAAUGAUAUCA
rnacentral:lncRNA from 1 species